rfam:Triticum aestivum genome assembly, contig: Triticum_aestivum_CS42_TGACv1_scaffold_033097_1BL
GAAGUACUCCCUCCGUUCAGAAUUAGUUGUCUCAGAAAUUGAUGUAUCUAGAAUUAAAAUACGUCUAGAUACAUCCAUUUCUGCGACAAGUAAUUCCGAACAGAGGGAGUAGAUU